CAUUUUUAGCUCACCUGGCCGAAAGGCCAAGUGAGCUUUUCUCAUCACUUGGCGUCCGGCGUCUGUCGUCGUCCGUCGUCCGUCGUCGUCGUCCUGCGUUAACUUUUACAAAAAUCUUCUCCUCUGAAACUACUGGGCCAAAUUUAACCAAACUUGGCCACAAUCAUCAUUGGGGUAUUUAGUUUAAAAAAUGUGUCCGGUGACCCGGCCAACCAAACAAGAUGGCCGCCAUGGCUAAAAAUAGAACAUAGGGGUAAAAUGCAGUUUUUGGCUUAUAACUCAAAAACCAAAGCAUUUAGAGCAAAUCUGACAGGGG
rnacentral:lncRNA from 1 species